GAUGAACGCUGGCGGCGUGCUUAACACAUGCAAGUCGAACGGUAAACGAGGGAGCUUGCUCCCUCCGGAUCAGUGGCGAACGGGUGAGUAACACGUGAGCAAUCUGCCCCGAACUCUGGGAUAAGCGUUGGAAACGACGUCUAAUACCGGAUACGACGCGCGAAGGCAUCUUCUGCGCGUGGAAAGAACUUCGGUUCGGG
rnacentral:rRNA from 1 species